AGUGAACGCUGGCGGUAGGCCUAACACAUGCAAGUCGAACGGCAGCACAGUAAGAGCUUGCUCUUACGGGUGGCGAGUGGCGGACGGGUGAGGAAUACAUCGGAAUCUACUUUUUCGUGGGGGAUAACGUAGGGAAACUUACGCUAAUACCGCAUACGACCUACGGGUGAAAGCAGGGGAUCUUCGGACCUUGCGCGAUUGAAUGAGCCGAUGUCGGAUUAGCUAGUUGGCGGGGUAAAGGCCCACCAAGGCGACGAUCCGUAGCUGGUCUGAGAGGAUGAUCAGCCACACUGGAACUGGGACACGGUCCAGACUCCUACGGGAGGCAGCAGUGGGGAAUAUUGGACAAUGGGCGCAAGCCUGAUCCAGCCAUACCGCGUGGGUGAAGAAGGCCUUCGGGCUGUAAAGCCCUUUUGUUGGGAAAGAAAAGCAGCAGGUUAAUACCCCGCUGUUCUGACGGUACCCAAGGGAUAAGCACCGGCUAACUUCGUG
rnacentral:rRNA from 1 species